rfam:Schistosoma curassoni strain Dakar, Senegal genome assembly, scaffold: SCTD_contig0016248
AUCCAGCUGACGAGUCCCAAAUAGGUCGAAACGCGCAUCCUGGAU